rnacentral:rRNA from 1 species
CCGCGUGAGUGAUGAAGGUUUUCGGAUCGUAAAGCUCUGUUGUUAGGGAAGAACAAGUGCCGUUCAAAUAGGGCGGCACCUUGACGGUACCUAACCAGAAAGCCACGGCUAACUACGUGCCAGCAGCCGCGGUAAUACGUAGGUGGCAAGCGUUGUCCGGAAUUAUUGGGCGUAAAGGGCUCGCAGGCGGUUUCUUAAGUCUGAUGUGAAAGCCCCCGGCUCAACCGGGGAGGGUCAUUGGAAACUGGGGAACUUGAGUGCAGAAGAGGAGAGUGGAAUUCCACGUGUAGCGGUGAAAUGCGUAGAGAUGUGGAGGAACACCAGUGGCGAAGGCGACUCUCUGGUCUGUAACUGACGCUGAGGAGCGAAAGCGUGGGGAGCGAACAGGAUUAGAUACCCUGGUAGUCCACGCCGUAAACGAUGAGUGCUAAGUGUUAGGGGGUUUCCGCCCCUUAGUGCUGCAGCUAACGCAUUAAGCACUCCGCCUGGGGAGUACGGUCGCAAGACUGAAACUCAAAGGAAUUGACGGGGGCCCGCACAAGCGGUGGAGCAUGUGGUUUAAUUCGAAGCAACGCGAAGAACCUUACCAGGUCUUGACAUCCUCUGAC